GAUGAACGCUGGCGGCGUGCCUAACACAUGCAAGUCGAGCGGCAGCGAGGGGUGCUUGCACCCUGUCGGCGAGCGGCGGACGGCUGAGUAGCGCGUGGGAACGUGCCCCAAAGUGAGGAAUAACUGCCCGAAAGGGUAGCUAAUACCGCAUAUUAUCUUCGGAUCAAAGGAUUUAUCCGCUUUGGGAGCGGCUCGCGUCGGAUUAGGUAGUUGGUGAGGUAAUGGCUCACCAAGCCGACGAUCCGUAGCUGGUCUGAGAGGAUGACCAGCCAGACUGGUACUGAGACACGGUCCAGACUCCUACGGGAGGCAGCAGUGAGGAAUCUUCCACAAUGGGCGAAAGCCUGAUGGAGCAACGCCGCGUGCAGGACGAAGGCCUUCGGGUUGUAAACUGCUUUUAUAAGUGAGGAAUAUGACGGUAACUUAUGAAUAAGGAUCGGCUAACUACGUG
rnacentral:rRNA from 1 species